rnacentral:rRNA from 1 species
GACGAACGCUGGCGGCGUGCUUAACACAUGCAAGUCGAACGGAAAGGCCCUGCUUUUGUGGGGUGCUCGAGUGGCGAACGGGUGAGUAACACGUGAGUAACCUGCCCUUGACUUUGGGAUAACUUCAGGAAACUGGGGCUAUUACCGGAUAGGAGCUCCUGCUGCAUGGUGGGGGUUGGAAAGUUUCGGUGGUUGGGGAUGGACUCGCGGCUUAUCAGCUUGUUGGUGGGGUAGUGGCUUACCAAGGCUUUGACGGGUAGCCGGCCUGAGAGGGUGACCGGCCACAUUGGACUGAGAUACGGCCCAGACUCCUACGGGAGGCAGCAGUGGGGAAUAUUGCACAAUGGGCGGAAGCCUGAUGCAGCAACGCCGCGUGCGGGAUGACGGCCUUCGGGUUGUAAACCGCUUUCGCCUGUGAUGAAGCGUGAGUGACGGUAAUGGGUAAAGAAGCACCGGCUAACUACGUG